UACAGAGGGUGCAAGCGUUAUUCGGAAUUAUUGGGCGUAAAGAGCGCGUAGGCGGUUUAGUUAGUCCGAUGUGAAAGCCCUGGACUUAAUUCAGGAAGUGCAUCGGAUACUGCUAGGCUUGAGUGCAGGAGGGGAGAGCGGAAUUCCUGGUGUAGAGGUGAAAUUCGUAGAUAUCAGGAGGAACAACAGAGGCGAAGGCGGCUCUCUGGACUGCAACUGACGCUGAGGCGCGAAAGCGUGGGGAGCAAACAGG
rnacentral:rRNA from 1 species